CGGAUGACGGCUGCCUCUCCGUGGGAGACGCUCUGGUGCUUCUCGCCCUCCUCGAAGCUCCCCAUGUCUGCGGAGAGAAGAACGUAAGGAGGGCACACUGAUUCCAGCUCUGAUGUUCUGUCGCCAGGAGGGGAGCAGAGAGCAGUGGAGAUGCAGCAGGAAGACUUCUGGUUGCCCACCUGCCAGCUGGCAUCACAGUGGGUCUGAUUCUAAUGGAAGGGGCUUGGAGACGGGAUGUGGGGAGGGGUGUUGGUACAGAGCGGAUCACCAAGACUCUUGAGUGUUGAUGUAUACUUCCUCACUGCUCAAAGUGUGGUCCAUGGACCAGCAGCACGGGCACUGCCUGGGUGCUGGUCAGCAAUGCAGAGUCUCAGGCCCCACUCCAGAUUUGCUGAAUCAGAACCUGCAUUUUAACAAGACUCCCAGUGAAGUGUGCCCACACACACGUGUGAGAAGCAAUGUUUGUCCUCAGACUUGGCUGAGUGUCAGCAAGAAUCACAUACAGAGUUAAAGAAUGCUCAUGCCCGGUCUCACCCCCAAACUUCAGAUUUCACUGGCUUGGGGUGUGGGUGUGGGCUGCCCGUCAGCAUCCCCACGUGCAGUACCGUUCAGACCACCGACACCUUGGUUUCGUUUCCCCGUGGCCCACUCGUUCCCUCCCUGACCGCGGGGGCCAUGCCCUCAGCUACUUGGCCUCCUGCUGCCUUGUUAUUUCUCAGCCCCUGGAAUACCACCUGCCUCUUCUUCCUCUCCUUCACCCAGGAGACCCCAACCUGGCUGCACCUCAGAAUCCCCUUUAAUAUUCCCAGAGGUAAGAACCUUCUGGGGUGGGUGGGACCUAGAUGUGGGUAUUUCUACACUGCUCAGGUAGGUCCAGUGUGAGCCAAGGUUGAGAACUACUGUUUGGGCUCCCACCUUACACUUUGGUGGCCUCAGAAUCCCCUGGGCAUGGUAAGCCCACAGACUUGCUCCCAUGCUUCCUCUCUCCCGGGGCGCCGACAGGCCCGGCUCCCCGGCGCCUGGGUCUGAGGUCUUGAUUCGCUCUCUGGAAGAUCCAGCUGCACACCGAAGUUUGAGAACUACUGGCCGGCACUCUCACUUCCCAAAGCCCUCGGCUUCAUUCUCUCCUCGCCUGACCUAAUGGGUUUGACCUCAAUCUCUCUGCAAAGACUGUCCGUCUGCCCUGGCUCUUCCUUGAGCCCUAACACCCAACACCCAACUUCCAACAGAAAACGUUGGGUAUUCUUUACUUCCUCUCCAUGCCCUCCUUCCUGCAUUCUAAGUUCUGCUAAUAGCUCCCCGUCCCACACCUGCCCAGAGCACCUAGGACCAAAGCCUUGGAGCCUUUCCUGGUGCUUCCCGUCCGGGUUCCCACAAAGCCCUUCGGCUCUUCCUCUGGAAUAUUGCUCUCAAUUCCCAAGGCCCCUCUGUUCCCUUAGGUCCCACCAAUAAGCUAGCCCAUCACUCCAGCUGCAUCGACUCCUUCCCCACAUGGUCUCCUACAUGGGAUCCCCUCCCAUCCAUCUUCUGCACUCUCCUGAUUAGUUUUUCUGACCACAUCACCGACUUGCUCAGAACCUUUAGGACCUCCUUAUUGCCCCAGGAAAGUUUAAAUCCCUUUACCUGGAUUCAAGGUCCCCCCCCGUCAGACCCCAACCAACCCUGGCUGUCUGAAUGCCCGCACCAGGUCAUGUGCCUCUCCCGUCAUGCUGAGUUACAUCCUUCUUCUCCCCUCAGGCCUCUGCCUGGAAUGCCACCAGAACAAGCCAUCAUUUCCCAAGGCUCCACGGUUCAACAGCAUCCCAGAGGGAUCUGGCCAAUUAAAUAUCUCAAGAAAUAAAAUGAGCUGUUGGCAUCUUUG